GGUCAAGCUACGAAGGGCUAAUGGAGGAUACCUAGGCACACAGAGGCGACGAAGGACGCGGUUACCGGCGAUACGCUCCGGGGAGUUGGAAGCAGGCAUAGAUCCGGAGAUUUCCGAAUGGGGCAACCCUAGAGACGGCCAUUUGAAUCCAUAGGAUGGCACGAGCGAACGCAGCGAACUGAAACAUCUAAGUAGCUGUAGGAAGAGAAAACAAACGUGAUUCCCGUAGUAGCGGCGAGCGAAGAGGGAAGAGCCUAAACCAUGGGUUUAUACCUGUGGGGUCGUGGGACAGCGAGAUGUAGGGAGGCGGCUAGACGAAGCAGAUGGGAUGCUGCACCAGAGGAGGUGAAAGUCCUGUAGUCGAAAGCCAAGCACCGCUAGCUGAAUCCCGAGUAGGCCGGAGCACGAGGAAUUCCGGUUGAAUCAGCGAGGACCACCUCGUAAGGCUAAAUACUCCUGUGUGACCGAUAGUGAACCAGUACCGCGAGGGAACGGUGAAAAGAACCCCGGAAGGGGAGUGAAAUAGAACAUGAAACCAUUAGCUUACAAGCAAUCGGAGCCCGAUUAAACGGGUGACGGUGUGCCUGUUGAAGAAUGAGCCGGCGACUUAUAGGCACGGGUAGGUUAAGACGGGAAUGUCGAAGCCAGAGCGAAAGCGAGUCUGAAGAGGGCGAAUAUCCGUGUUUAUAGACCCGAACCCAGGUGAUCUAACCAUGGGCAGGAUGAAGCUUGGGUAACACCAAGUGGAGGUCCGAACCGACCGAUGUUGAAAAAUCGGCGGAUGACCUGUGGUUAGCGGUGAAAUGCCAAUCGAACCUGGAGCUAGCUGGUUCUCCCCGAAAUGUGUUGAGGCGCAGCGGUAGGCGAUAAAGUUGGGGGGUAAAGCACUGUUUCGGUGCGGGCUGCGAGAGCGGUACCAAAUCGAGACAAACUCAGAAUACCCAGCGGAUAGCCUGCCAGUGAGACGGUGGGGGAUAAGCUUCAUCGUCAAGAGGGAAACAGCCCAGACCACCAGCUAAGGUCCCCAAAUCAUGGCUAAGUGAUAAAGGAGGUGGGAGUGCUAAGACAACCAGGAGGUUUGCCUAGAAGCAGCCAUCCUUGAAAGAGUGCGUAAUAGCUCACUGGUCAAGCGCUCCUGCGCCGAAAAUGAACGGGGCUAAGUCAUGUACCGAAGCUGUGGGAUAUGCAAAUAUCGGUAGGGGAGCGUUCUGUAGUAGGGAGAAGCAUUAGCGAAAGCAGAUGUGGACGAAGCAGAAGUGAGAAUGUCGGCUUGAGUAGCGCAAACAUUGGUGAGAAUCCAAUGCCCCGAAAUCCUAAGGGUUCCUCCGCAAGGCUCGUCCACGGAGGGUUAGUCGGGACCUAAGGCGAGGCGGAAACGCGUAGUCGAUGGCGAACCGGUCAAUAUUCCGGUACCGAUGAUGAAUUGUGCAGGGGGACGGAGAAGGCUAAGUCAGCCGCAAGUUGGUUAGCGGUUGAAGCGUACGAGGUGAUGAGGUGCGGCGAAAACGCACUGAGCUGAGGCGCGAGUACGACCUCCUACGGGAGGGAAGUGACUGAUGUCAGGCUUCCAAGAAAAGCCCUACCCACGUAAAUUCAUGAUUGCCCGUACUCUAAACCGACACAGGUAGGAUAGUUGAGAAUACUCAGGGGCGCGAGGUAACUCUCUCUAAGGAACUCGGCAAAAUGGCCCCGUAACUUCGGGAGAAGGGGUGCCAGCGAGAGCUGGUCGCAGUGAAGAGGCCCAGGCGACUGUUUACCAAAAACACAGGUCUCCGCUAAGUCGCAAGACGAUGUAUGGGGGCUGACGCCUGCCCAGUGCCGGAAGGUUAAGGAAGUUGGUUAGUUUUCGGAUGAAGCUAGCGACCGAAGCCCCGGUGAACGGCGGCCGUAACUAUAACGGUCCUAAGGUAGCGAAAUUCCUUGUCGGGUAAGUUCCGACCCGCACGAAAGGCGUAACGAUCUGGGCGCUGUCUCGGAGAGAGGCUCGGCGAAAUAGGAGUGUCUGUGAAGAUACGGACUACCUGCACCCGGACAGAAAGACCCUAUGAAGCUUUACUGUAGCCUGGUAUUGGGUUCGGGCUUUGACUGCGCAGGAUAGGUGGGAGACUAAGAGCAAGCCCUUGUGGGGGUUUGUGAGUCACUGGUGAGAUACCACUCUGUCAAGGCUAGAAUUCUAACUGAAAGCCGUUAUCCGGCUUUGGGACCGUAUCAGGUGGGCAGUUUGACUGGGGCGGUCGCCUCCUAAAUGGUAACGGAGGCGCGCAACGGUUCCCUCAGGCUGGUCGGAAAUCAGCCGAAGAGUGUAAAGGUAGAAGGGAGCUUGACUGCAAGACUGACAAGUCGAGCAGGGACGAAAGUCGGCCUUAGUGAUCCGACGGCACAGCGUGGAAUGGCCGUCGCUCAACGGAUAAAAGUUACUCUAGGGAUAACAGGCUGAUCUCCCCCAAGAGUUCACAUCGACGGGGAGGUUUGGCACCUCGAUGUCGGCUCAUCGCAACCUGGGGCGGUAGUACGUCCCAAGGGUUGGGCUGUUCGCCCAUUAAAGCGGUACGUGAGCUGGGUUCAGAACGUCGUGAGACAGUUCGGUCCAUAUCCGGUGCAGGCGUAGGAGCAUUGAGGGGAUUCCUCCUUAGUACGAGAGGACCGGGAGGAACGCACCGCUGGUGUACCUGUUAUCGUGCCAACGGUAAACGCAGGGUAGCCAUGUGCGGAGCGGAUAACCGCUGAAAGCAUCUAAGUGGGAAGCCCACCCCAAGAUGAGUGCUCCCAUGGCGUUAAGCCAGUAAGGUCACGGGAAGAACACCCGUUGAUAGGCGUUAGAUGGAAGUCCAGCAAUGGAUGUAGUCGAGACGUACUAACAGACCGAGGGCUUGUCCU
rnacentral:rRNA from 1 species